rnacentral:lncRNA from 12 species
UUUGCUUGCCAAAAGACCGAUAGGGAGUAACCGCUGCAGUUUAUACCCAGGACACGCCUUUUGGCCUUUUGGACCCUUUAGCGUGCCGAGCAGAUAUCGAGCAUCCCUAAGAAUACUCAAAAGUACUGGCAGUGCCCUCAUCAGUGUCUCUAGGAGGAUUUGGUGCUGGCUCCUCACAAUAAUCUCCAUCAACACUCUCCAGAGCACCAAGGGCACAGAAAAGCCUCUGGUCCACGCAGAACCAGCAGAAACAGA